AUUGAACGCUGGCGGCAUGCCUUACACAUGCAAGUCGAACGGCAGCACGGGUGCUUGCACCUGGUGGCGAGUGGCGAACGGGUGAGUAAUACAUCGGAACAUGUCCUGUAGUGGGGGAUAGCCCGGCGAAAGCCGGAUUAAUACCGCAUACGAUCUACGGAUGAAAGCGGGGGACCUUCGGGCCUCGCGCUAUAGGGUUGGCCGAUGGCUGAUUAGCUAGUUGGUGGGGUAAAGGCCUACCAAGGCGACGAUCAGUAGCUGGUCUGAGAGGACGACCAGCCACACUGGGACUGAGACACGGCCCAGACUCCUACGGGAGGCAGCAGUGGGGAAUUUUGGACAAUGGGCGAAAGCCUGAUCCAGCAAUGCCGCGUGUGUGAAGAAGGCCUUCGGGUUGUAAAGCACUUUUGUCCGGAAAGAAAGCCUUGGCCCUAAUACGGUCGGGGGAUGACGGUACCGGAAGAAUAAGCACCGGCUAACUACGUG
rnacentral:rRNA from 1 species